GAUGGGAUUAGCUAGUAGGUGGGGUAAUGGCUCACCUAGGCGACGAUCCCUAGCUGGUCUGAGAGGAUGACCAGCCACACUGGAACUGAGACACGGUCCAGACUCCUACGGGAGGCAGCAGUGGGGAAUAUUGCACAAUGGGCGCAAGCCUGAUGCAGCCAUGCCGCGUGUGUGAAGAAGGCCUUCGGGUUGUAAAGUACUUUCAGCGAGGAGGAAGGCGUUGAGGUUAAUAACCUUAGCGAUUGACGUUACUCGCAGAAGAAGCACCGGCUAACUCCGUGCCAGCAGCCGCGGUAAUACGGAGGGUGCAAGCGUUAAUCGGAAUUACUGGGCGUAAAGCGCACGCAGGCGGUUUGUCAAGUCGGAUGUGAAAUC
rnacentral:rRNA from 1 species